GUGGGGAAUCUUGGACAAUGGGCGCAAGCCUGAUCCAGCCAUGCCGCGUGGAUGAUGAAGGCCUUAGGGUUGUAAAAUCCUUUCAACGGGGACGAUAAUGACGGUACCCGUAGAAGAAGCCCCGGCUAACUUCGUGCCAGCAGCCGCGGUAAUACGAAGGGGGCUAGCGUUGCUCGGAAUUACUGGGCGUAAAGCGCACGUAGGCGGAUAUUUAAGUCGGAGGUGAAAUCCCAGGGCUCAACCCUGGAACUGCCCUCGAUACUGGGUAUCUGGACCAAAGUAGAGGUAAGUGGAAUUCCGAGUGUAGAGGUGAAAUUCGUAGAUAUUCGGAGGAACACCAGUGGCGAAGGCGACUUACUGGACUUUUGGUGACGCUGAGGUGCGAAAGCGUGGGGAGCAAACAGGAUUAGAAACCCGAGUAGUCC
rnacentral:rRNA from 1 species